rnacentral:rRNA from 1 species
UGCCAGCAGCCGCGGUAAUACGAAGGGUGCUAGCGUUGUUCGGAAUUACUGGGCGUAAAGAGCAUGUAGGCGGAUGAAUUAGUCAGAGGUGAAAGCCCCGAGCUCAACUUGGGAACUGCCUUUGAUACUGUUUAUCUAGAGUCCGAGAGAGGUUAGUGGAAUUCCCAGUGUAGAGGUGAAAUUCGUAGAUAUUUGAAGGAACAUCAGUGGCGAAGGCGACCUCCUGGACUGAUAUUGACGCUGAGGUGCGAAAGCGUGGGGAGCAAACAGGAUUAGAUA